rnacentral:rRNA from 1 species
AUUGAACGCUGGCGGCAGGCUUAACACAUGCAAGUCGAGCGGGGUGAUGGUGCUUGCACUAUCACUUAGCGGCGGACGGGUGAGUAAUGCUUAGGAAUCUGCCUAUUAGUGGGGGACAACAUCUCGAAAGGGAUGCUAAUACCGCAUACGUCCUACGGGAGAAAGCAGGGGCUCACUUGUGACCUUGCGCUAAUAGAUGAGCCUAAGUCGGAUUAGCUAGUUGGUGGGGUAAAGGCCUACCAAGGCGACGAUCUGUAGCGGGUCUGAGAGGAGGAGCCGCCACACUGGGACUGAGCAACGGCCCAGACUCCUACGGGAGGCAGCAGUGGGGAAUAUUGGACAAUGGGGGGAACCCUGAUCCAGCCAUGCCGCGUGUGUGAAGAAGGCCUUAUGGUUGUAAAGCACUUUAAGCGAGGAGGGGGCUCUUUUGGUUAAUACCCAAGAUGAGUGGACGUUACUCGCAGAAUAAGCACCGGCUAACUCUGUGCCAGCAGCCGCAGUAA